UGGCGGCGAUAGCGCUGUGGUCCCACCUGACCCCAUGCCGAACUCAGAAGUGAAACGCCGUAGCGCCGAUGGUAGUGUGGGGUCUCCCCAUGUGAGAGUAGGGAACUGCCA
rnacentral:rRNA from 1 species